UAUGUUCGCGUGACGAGAGGAAGGUUUCGACGACUUAAAAACAUUUGAAUAUUCCUUUCCUCCUUGAGGAACUCAAAUUGUCAGAGAAUGGAAUGGCGACAAUCGGCUGAACCACAAUCAAUAAGGGAAAAAGAAAUAGCUCUCGAUCACAAAGUUAAAGAAUAAGAGAUAGAAAUCAAAGACAGAGUGAGAAGGACAUUCAGCCAAAGAAAAAAAAAGAGAAGAGAAAAGUGAUUCGGCUUGGCAGAGAAGAUAAGAGUGAAGAGAAAAGGGAUUCGGCAAAGAUGGAAUUCGACUACAAUAAACAAAAAGGAAAGAAAAAAAAGUAAAGAGAAGAAAAUAAAAUAAAUGAGCAAACCCGAGAGUAACUCCCAAAACUUGGCAAAAUUCGGCACCAAAACUAAAACGUGAAACCCGAAACUCACAGAAAUCAAAGCAGACUGAGAGAAAAAUUCCAAAAUAAACCAAAAUUGAUAACCUUAAGUGAAUGAUCAAAUUCAGCACAAACACCCUCCCCCAUCCGAAUUCUCAAUGCUUGACUUACCCUAAACGACACAACAUUCCUCUCAAAACAACUCCUUGAUUUUCUCCUAAAAUCUCUCCCCUUAUCCCUCCUUGAUUCACUC
rnacentral:lncRNA from 1 species